CGGACGGGUGAGUAACACGUGGGUAACCUGCCCUUCAGUGGGGGAUAACAUUUGGAAACAGAUGCUAAUACCGCAUAGAUCCAAGAACCGCAUGGUUCUUGGCUGAAAGAUGGCGUAAGCUAUCGCUUUUGGAUGGACCCGCGGCGUAUUAGCUAGUUGGUGAGGUAAUGGCUCACCAAGGCGAUGAUACGUAGCCGAACUGAGAGGUUGAUCGGCCACAUUGGGACUGAGACACGGCCCAAACUCCUACGGGAGGCAGCAGUAGGGAAUCUUCCACAAUGGACGCAAGUCUGAUGGAGCAACGCCGCGUGAGUGAAGAAGGCUUUCGGGUCGUAAAACUCUGUUGUUGGAGAAGAAUGGUCGGCAGAGUAACUGUUGUCGGCGUGACGGUAUCCAACCAGAAAGCCACGGCUAACUACGUGCCAGCAGCCGCGGUAAUACGUAGGUGGCAAGCGUUAUCCGGAUUUAUUGGGCGUAAAGCGAGCGCAGGCGGUUUUUUAAGUCUGAUGUGAAAGCCCUCGGCUUAACCGAGGAAGCGCAUCGGAAACUGGGAAACUUGAGUGCAGAAGAGGACAGUGGAACUCCAUGUGUAGCGGUGAAAUGCGUAAAUAUAUGGAAGAACACCAGUGGCGAAGGCGGCUGUCUGG
rnacentral:rRNA from 1 species